CAACGACUGGAAACGGUCGCUAAUACCCCAUAUGCCGAGAGGUGAAACGUUUUUUCGCCUGAGGAUGAGCUCGCGUCAGAUUAGCUAGUUGGUGGGGUAACGGCCUACCAAGGCGACGAUCUGUAGCUGGUCUGAGAGGAUGAUCAGCCACACUGGGACUGAGACACGGCCCAGACUCCUACGGGAGGCAGCAGUGGGGAAUUUUCCGCAAUGGGCGAAAGCCUGACGGAGCAAGACCGCGUGAGGGAUGACGGCCUAAUGGUUGUAAACCUCUUUUCUCUGGGAAGAUAAUGACGGUACCAGAGGAAUAAGCCUCGGCUAACUCCGUGCCAGCAGCCGCGGUAAUACGGAGGAGGCAAGCGUUAUCCGGAAUUAUUGGGCGUAAAGCGUCCGUAGGUGGUUAAUCAAGUCAGCUGUUAAAGAGCGGAGCUUAACUCCGUUAGAGCGGUUGAAACUGAUUGACUAGAGUUUGGUAGGGGUCGAGGGAAUUCCCAGUGUAGCGGUGAAAUGCGUAGAUAUUGGGAAGAACACCGGUGGCGAAAGCGCUCGACUGGGCCUGAACUGACACUGAGGGACGAAAG
rnacentral:rRNA from 1 species